AUUGAACGCUGGCGGCAGGCCUAACGCAUGCAAGUCGAGCGGAUGAAGGGAGCUUGCUCCUGGAUUCAGCGGCGGACGGGUGAGUAAUUCCUAGGAAUCUGCCUGGUCGUGGGGGAUAACGUCCGGAAACGGGCGCUAAUCCCGCAUCCGUCCUGAGGGAGAAAGUGGUGGAUCUUCGGACCUCACGCUAUCUGAUGAGCCUAGGUCGGAUUAGCUAGUUGGUGGGGUAAAGGCCUACCAAGGCGACGAUCCGUAACUGGUCUGAGAGGAUGAUCAGUCACACUGGAACUGAGACACGGUCCAGACUCCUACGGGAGGCAGCAGUGGGGAAUAUUGGACAAAGGGCGAAAGCCUGAUCCAGCCAUGCCGCGUGAGUGAAGAAGGUCUUCGGAUUGUAAAGCACUUUAAGUUGGGAGGAAGGGCAGUAAGUUAAUACCUGGCUGUUUUGACGGUACCAACAGAAUAAGCACCGGCUAACUUCGUG
rnacentral:rRNA from 1 species